CAAGGCUUGACAUAUACCGAAAACUCAUAGAGAUAUGGGGUCCUUUUGGGCGGUAUACAGGUGGUGCAUGGUUGUCGUCAGCUCGUGUCGUGAGAUGUUGGGUUAAGUCCCGCAACGAGCGCAACCCUCGUUCUAUGUUGCCAGCACGUAGUGGUGGGGACUCAUAGGAGACCGCCGGGGUCAACUCGGAGGAAGGUGGGGAUGACGUCAAAUCAUCAUGCCCCUUAUGUCUUGGGCUGCAAACAUACUACAAUGGCCGGUACAAAGGGCUGCGAUACCGCGAGGUGGAGCGAAUCCCAGAAAGCCGGUCUCAGUUCGGAUUGGGGUCUGCAACUCGACCCCAUGAAGUCGGAGUCGCUAGUAAUCGCAGAUCAGCAACGCUGCGGUGAAUACGUUCCCGGGCCUUGUACACACCGCCCGUCAAGUCACGAAAGUCGGUAACACCCGAAGCCGGUGGCCUAACCCUUGUGGGGGGAGCCGUCGAAGGUGGGACUGGCGAUUGGGACU
rnacentral:rRNA from 1 species